rnacentral:lncRNA from 1 species
CAAAACUCCGUCUCAAAAAAAGGGGGAAAAAAUGGAUAUUACUUUUCUAGUAAGAAAAAAAGAUGGUUCCUUCAUCAGCUUCAGGCCAAGUUCGAAGUCACUAUGUAGACUGGAGAAUGUGGCGCGAUGUGAAGAGACGAAAAAUGGCCUAUGAAUACGCAGAUGAGAGGCUACGUAUUAAUUCACUCAGGAAGAAUACCAUUUUGCCAAAAAUUCUUCAGGAUGUGGCUGAUGAAGAAAUUGCUGCCCUCCCCCGGGAUAGCUGUCCUGUUAGAAUCAGAAAUCGGUGUGUUAUGACGUCCCGUCCGCGUGGUGUGAAGCGGCGCUGGAGGCUUAGUCGUAUAGUCUUCCGUCACUUAGCUGACCAUGGGCAACUUUCUGGGAUCCAGCGAGCGACAUGGUAAAUGAGCUCCAGAACCUAUUGAGCUUGCAGGGAAGCCAAGCUUGCAGUUCCAGCAAGCAAAGAUUUUUUUUAAUAGACCAAACCCUAAUCUCUACAGGGGCCCAGUACAGUUGUUUGGCCUACCUGAUGCUAUCUCUAAACUACUUUUAAAAUGAAGACAUUUGGGUGUUUCAUGUCAGUGAAUUAUCUUUUCUCUUGGACUUAACAAACAUACUGUUCCCAUACAUAGUACAAAGAGUAGCAUAAUAAAUAUUUUCUGUGAAUGUUUUUUAUACCCUCCUUUUAAGUUUAAUCUUUUAGUAACAUAUAGGGGUUUUUGUAUUAAGAGCAUUAUUUCAUAAAAUGCUAUCUUAUACAUAAUCCAACUAAUUGACAUGUAGCUCAUGUAUGGCAGUUUGUAAUCCUGGACUAGCUUUGCUGACCUGCAGAGCUCCCCUUAACUAUUAUUGUUAGAUAAACAGAUUGGAUAGCAAGGCUGCUGUUCUGGAUUAUCUAAUGCUCCACUUCUUCUUGUGAUGGCUGAACAAAAGAACCACUAAGUGUUUUCUUGUCCAUCCUUAAGGGACUUUAAAACAAAUUAUGCCUCUUUAAGUCCUUGAAAGUCUCCAUCUAAAGAGGAAAAGUUUGUUGGAACAGUAUAUAUUCCCUAUUUUUAUGUUUAUUUAAUCCAUAACAGAAAUGAGUAAGGGUAGCACAAAGUUCUCAUUCAGUAACUCAACAGUGUGAUCAUCAGCCCAGUGAUAAAAAUAUACAUACUGAAUGGAAGUACCUACUUAACAUCAGGAAAAUAUUCCUGGAGAACUUAAUAAAUCAGGAGGUGAGGGGUGAGAUUUUUUUCUGCACACAGAGGGAACAAAAGCACAAAGAAGCAAAGGCACUCUGUAGCAUCAGAGAACCACAGUCACUUCAGUAGAUCAGAAAUAUGAAGCACAAGACAAGGCCCGUAUUGUGGAGGAUCUCACAAAUCAUGUGAAGGAAUUAAGACUGACAUACCAGGUAUUACAGAGUUUUAAGCACAGGAAUGACAUCAUCAGUUUGUAAUACAGGUAAGUGACAGCUGUGUGGCAGAUGGCCAUGAGAGGAAAAAGCUACAGGCAAGACAACCAGUUAGGAGGAUGUCUUAGUUGUUGAGGAAGAUGAAGGCCUGAACUAACAUUGUGGUAUUAGUAGAGGAGAGAGGACAGAUUUUUAAAGUUUUAGGAAAGAAAAUUGGGCAAGACUUACAAGACUGAUUAUAUCUAAGAGGUAAAGAUGGUUCUCUGGGUUCCUGAUAAAAGUGUCUAGAUAGAUGGUAGAGGGCAAUUCCAAGAGGGCAACUCCAAGAUAGAAAAUUUGGAAAAAGAACAAAUUUAGGGGAAACAGAAGAUAAGCGAGUUCAGGUUCCAGUCAUGCGGUGUUGGAGAUGCCUGUGUCAUCUGAUGAAGACUAGUACGCAGCUGGAUAGCAGAGUCCGAAACUCAGGUGGAGGUGAAGUUAUGAGGGAAUUAUCACAAUCUAGUUUGGAUUCAUAUUUCUUAAAUAUGUAUGACAACUUACCAACUGGAAUGUUCUAGCUAAUAUCUCAACUUAGAAUCCAUCUCACUACCAAUGGGCAAACACUUGUGUUCUAAAGUUACUUGCAAGUAGUUUAUACUGCCAACUUGAUAUAUAUACAUGCUAUAGUUUGAACAUUUUGUGUACUUCCAAAAUUCACAUUAAAAUCUAAUCCACAAUGCGUUGGUAUUAUUAAGAGGUGGGGCCCUUAGGGGUGAUUAGGCCAGGAGGGCUCCACACUCAUGGAUGGGAUCAGUGCCUUUCUAAGAGGGCUUGAGGGAGAGAGUUUGUCCCUUUUACCCUUCUGAUACUGCGAGAAGGCACCGUACUGGAAGCAGAAAGCAAGCCCUUACCAAACACCAAUCUGCUGGUGCCAAAUCUUAGACUUCUCCAGCCUCCAGAAGUGCAAGAAGUAAAUAUUAUUUAUAAAUUCUUAGUCUAUGGCAUUUUGUUACAGCAGCAGGAAUAGACUAAGACAAUGUGUUGAUAGGUUUAGGGUCAUGUUUUACUUUUUCAGUCAUGUUAAAUUUUAGAUGGUUCUAAAGUCAAAACUCUAGAAAAAGUUAAAUUCACAGAAUAGCUUCCAUCCUCAUCUCCUUCCUUCCCCUGCUAACAAUUUUUAUUAGCUUUGGGUUUACUCGUUUCUUUUUGAAACAUAAGCAAAUACACCUAUGUGCAUACAUUCACAUUUCUCACCCUUUCUUACACAAAUGUAGUGGGUAUACCAUAAAUGUUCUGCACUUUGCUUUUCCACUUACUCUAUCCUGGAGACCAUUUUACGUUAUAUAGAACUCUUCAUUGUUUUGUGACUUAAGUACUCCCUCAUGUGGAUGCACCAUAAUACAUUCCUGUUAAAUAGACACGAGUAUUUUUAAUCUUUUGCAUAUAGCAUUCCAAAUUUUUCUAAAUGUACCUUUCAGAGCCCAGAAAGAAGUUAAAAUUCUGGGUCAAAGGAUAAAUGAAUAUGUCAUUCUGAUGGUUAUUACCAAAUACUCUUUCUGAGACAAGAGUCUUACUCUGUCACCCAGGCUGGAGUGCAGUGGCACAAUCUCAGCUCACUGCAACCUCUGCCUCCCGGGUUCCAGUGAUUCUCGUCCCUCGGCUUCCCAGGUUCAAGUGAUUCUUGUCCUUCAGUCUCCCGAGUAGCUGGAGUUACAGGCAUCUGCCACCAUGCCCAGCUAGUUUUUUUUAUUUUCAGUAGAGACAGGGUUUCACCAUGUUGGCCAGAUGGUCUUGAACUCCUGACCUCAAGUGAUCCGCCCACCUUGGCCUCCCAAGGUGUUGGGAUUACAGGUGUGAGCCACUGCACCUGCCCAAAUAUUCUUGUUAACCAAAGUUUAACUUUUGCAUUCCAUUCCCAUAUAUGUGUCCUUAUUUCUCCACAGCCUCAACUCAAUACAGUUGUUUUUAUACUUCUUUUUCAAGUGAAAGGUAAAAACACUGGUUUAUUCUCUUCUGAACAAGGUGAGCAUCUUUACAUGUUAA